rnacentral:rRNA from 1 species
UAAUUUGAGAGUUUGAUCCUGGCUCAGGACGAACGCUGGCGGCGUGCCUAAUACAUGCAAGUCGAACGAACUCUGGUAUUGAUUGGUGCUUGCAUCAUGAUUUACAUUUGAGUGAGUGGCGAACUGGUGAGUAACACGUGGGAAACCUGCCCAGAAGCGGGGGAUAACACCUGGAAACAGAUGCUAAUACCGCAUAACAACUUGGACCGCAUGGUCCGAGCUUGAAAGAUGGCUCGGCUAUCACUUUUGGAUGGUCCCGCGGCGUAUUAGCUAGAUGGUGGGGUAACGGCUCACCAUGGCAAUGAUACGUAGCCGACCUGAGAGGGUAAUCGGCCACAUUGGGACUGAGACACGGCCCAAACUCCUACGGGAGGCAGCAGUAGGGAAUCUUCCACAAUGGACGAAAGUCUGAUGGAGCAACGCCGCGUGAGUGAAGAAGGGUUUCGGCUCGUAAAACUCUGUUGUUAAAGAAGAACAUAUCUGAGAGUAACUGUUCAGGUAUUGACGGUAUUUAACCAGAAAGCCACGGCUAACUACGUGCCAGCAGCCGCGGUAAUACGUAGGUGGCAAGCGUUGUCCGGAUUUAUUGGGCGUAAAGCGAGCGCAGGCGGUUUUUUAAGUCUGAUGUGAAAGCCUUCGGCUCAACCGAAGAAGUGCAUCGGAAACUGGGAAACUUGAGUGCAGAAGAGGACAGUGGAACUCCAUGUGUAGCGGUGAAAUGCGUAGAUAUAUGGAAGAACACCAGUGGCGAAGGCGGCUGUCUGGUCUGUAACUGACGCUGAGGCUCGAAAGUAUGGGUAGCAAACAGGAUUAGAUACCCUGGUAGUCCAUACCGUAAACGAUGAAUGCUAAGUGUUGGAGGGUUUCCGCCCUUCAGUGCUGCAGCUAACGCAUUAAGCAUUCCGCCUGGGGAGUACGGCCGCAAGGCUGAAACUCAAAGGAAUUGACGGGGGCCCGCACAAGCGGUGGAGCAUGUGGUUUAAUUCGAAGCUACGCGAAGAACCUUACCAGGUCUUGACAUACUAUGCAAAUCUAAGAGAUUAGACGUUCCCUUCGGGGACAUGGAUACAGGUGGUGCAUGGUUGUCGUCAGCUCGUGUCGUGAGAUGUUGGGUUAAGUCCCGCAACGAGCGCAACCCUUAUUAUCAGUUGCCAGCAUUAAGUUGGGCACUCUGGUGAGACUGCCGGUGACAAACCGGAGGAAGGUGGGGAUGACGUCAAAUCAUCAUGCCCCUUAUGACCUGGGCUACACACGUGCUACAAUGGAUGGUACAACGAGUUGCGAACUCGCGAGAGUAAGCUAAUCUCUUAAAGCCAUUCUCAGUUCGGAUUGUAGGCUGCAACUCGCCUACAUGAAGUCGGAAUCGCUAGUAAUCGCGGAUCAGCAUGCCGCGGUGAAUACGUUCCCGGGCCUUGUACACACCGCCCGUCACACCAUGAGAGUUUGUAACACCCAAAGUCGGUGGGGUAACCUUUUAGGAACCAGCCGCCUAAGGUGGGACAGAUGAUUAGGGUGAAGUCGUAACAAGGUAGCCGUAGGAGAACCUGCGGCUGGAUCACCUCCUUU